rnacentral:rRNA from 1 species
UACGGGGGGGGCAAGCGUUGUUCGGAAUUACUGGGCGUAAAGGGCGCGUAGGCGGUCUGGUCAGUCCCUUGUGAAAUCCCCCCGGCUCAACUGGGGGAACUGCACGGGAAACAGCCGGGCUUGAGUUCGGGAGAGGGAAGCGGAAUUCCGGGUGUAGCGGUGAAAUGCGGUAGAUAUCCGGAGGAACACCGGGUGGCGAAGGCGGCUUCCUGGACCGAUACUGACGCUGAGGCGACGAAAGCUAGGGGAGCAAACGGGG